GCCGCCUCUCCGGGCUACCUGUCUCGUCUUGUUGUAGCCGCUUCUAACGAGCAGGCAGCGUACUGGAGCAUGCAGAAAUCCUGCUUUUUGAAGCACCCUGAAAACAGCCUUGUGUUUUUCUGUACCUUGGUGGCCCAGAAGGACUUGUCAGGAAGCAAGCACCACAUAGUGCCAGAUCACAUCAGGCUCUAAGAUACCUGAGGACUAUUUGUUUGCAGACUGUUGGAAGACAGAGACGGAAUCACCUAUUGACAUACCAGGAGCUUAGUGAGCAACUGAACUUCCUCACCAGCUACAGAUCUUCAUGUGAUCAUCAAAAUCAUCAGCAAAGUAGGUAACAGUAAUAUUUUAGUUUCACAAGGAUACAUACUUAAA